rnacentral:rRNA from 1 species
CACCACAACAGGUGGAGCCUGCGGUUUAAUCGGACUCAACGCCGGGAAACUCACCAGAUAAGACAGCUGGAUGAUAGCCGGGCUGAAGACUCUGCUUGACUAGCUGAGAGGAGGUGCAUGGCCGUCGUCAGUUCGUACUGUGAAGCAUCCUGUUAAGUCAGGCAACGAGCGAGACCCACGCCAACAGUUGCCAGCAUGUCCUCCGGGAUGAUGGGGACACUGUUGGGACCGCCUCUGCUAAAGAGGAGGAAGGAAUGGGCAACGGUAGGUCAGCAUGCCCCGAAUUAUCCGGGCUACACGCGGGCUACAAUGGUCAGGACAAUGGGUAUCGACACCGAGAGGUGGAGGCAAUCUCCUAAACCUGUCCUUAGUUCGGAUUGUGGGCUGCAACUCGCCCACAUGAAGCUGGAAUCCGUAGUAAUCGCGUUUCAAAAUAGCGCGGUGAAUAUGUCCCUGCUCCUU